rnacentral:rRNA from 1 species
GAGUUUGAUCGUGGCUCAGAUUGAACGCUGGCGGAAUGCUUUACACAUGCAAGUCGGGCGGCAGCGCGGGGCAACCUGGCGGCGAGCGGCGAACGGGUGAGUAAUGCAUCGGAACAUGUCCAUGUCGUGGGGGAUAGCCCGGCGAAAGCCGGAUUAAUACCGCAUACGCCCGAGAGGGGAAAGUGGGGGACCGCAAGGCCUCACGCGAUUGGGUUGGCCGAUGUCCGAUUAGCUAGUUGACGGGGUAAAGGCCCACCAAGGCGAUGAUCGGUAGCUGGUCUGAGAGGAUGAUCAGCCACACUGGGACUGAGACACGGCCCAGACUCCUACGGGAGGCAGCAGUGGGGAAUUUUGGACAAUGGGGGCAACCCUGAUCCAGCCAUUCCGCGUGAGUGAAGAAGGCC